rnacentral:rRNA from 1 species
CCUACGUGGGGCAGCAGUGAGGAAUAUUGGUCAAUGGACGAGAGUCUGAACCAGCCAAGUAGCGUGAAGGUUGACUGCCCUAUGGGUUGUAAACUUCUUUUAUCAAGGAAUAUAACGAGCCACGUGUGCCUUUUUGCAUGUCCUUUAUAAAUCAGGAUCGGCUAACUCCGUCCCAGCAGCCGCGGUAAUACGGAGGAUCCGAGCGUUAUCCGGUUUUAUUGGGUUUAAAGGGAGCGUAGAUGGGUUGUUAAGUCAGUUGUGAAAGUUUGCGGCUCAACCGUAAAAGUGCAAUUGAUACUGGCAGUCGUGAAUGCAGUUGAGGUAGGCGGAAUUCGUGGUGUAGCGGUGAAAUGCUUAGAUAUCACGAAGAACCCCGAUUGCGAAGGCAGCUUACGAAACUGUGACUGACAUUGAUGCUCGAAAGUGUGGGUAUCAAACAGGAUUAGAUACCCGAGUAGUC